rnacentral:rRNA from 1 species
CAGUUCGGAUUGUUAGGCUGCAACUCGCCUACAUGAAGUUGGAAUCGCUAGUAAUCGCGAAUCAGAAUGUCGCGGUGAAUAACGUUCCCGGGGUCCGUUGUACACACCGCCCGUCACACCACGAGAGUUGGGGAUACCCGAAGCCUGUGAGCCAACUGUAAAGAGGCAGCAGUCGAAGGUAGAAUCAAUGAUUGGGGUGAAGUCGUAACAAGGUAUC